AUGUCGGGUUGCGAGGUGUUGUUAUUUGUGUGUAGGUGCUAUUUAUGUUGUGUUGCUUGGUUCUCCUCCUGGUUCGAUAACCUUGGUUUCUUCAUUGAGGGAAAUACCUACUGUCGUUGUGCUGCAUCAUCCCCUCCUCUUUGGGGAAAUACCGACGUAGUCCUAGAAGACAAGAGCUUUUCUGAUGCUAUAGUCAGAGAGCGAUCAAAAGGAAUUUCUGGCGCCGUUGCCAGGGAGGAUCUUCUACAUAACCAGGUUCCUAAUCACAAAUCUCAUCUCCUCGCAAUUUACAUUAUUUGA
rnacentral:rRNA from 1 species